rnacentral:sRNA from 1 species
AGAUCCUGCCUUUCAGGCAUCCUCUCCCAAAACUUCUACGGCCCGGUCGUUUUCGAUCGGGCCUUUUUUUAUCUGCCU